rnacentral:rRNA from 1 species
UGCUCAGGACGAACGCCGGCGGCGUGCUUAACACAUGCAAGUCGAACGAUGAAAGAGGGAGCUUGCUUUCUCUGGAUUAGUGGCGAACGGGUGAGUAACACGUGAGCAAUCUGCCCUUGACUCUGGGAUAAGCGUUGGAAACGACGUCUAAUACGGGAUACGAACUUCAGCCGCAUGGCUAGGGGUUGGAAAGAAUUUCGGUCAAGGAUGAGCUCGCGGCCUAUCAGCUUGUUGGUGAGGUAAUGGCUCACCAAGGCGACGACGGGUAGCCGGCCUGAGAGGGUGACCGGCCACACUGGGACUGAGACACGGCCCAGACUCCUACGGGAGGCAGCAGUGGGGAAUAUUGCACAAUGGGCGCAAGCCUGAUGCAGCAACGCCGCGUGAGGGACGACGGCCUUCGGGUUGUAAACCUCUUUUAGCAGGGAAGAAGCGCAAGUGACGGUACCUGCAGAAAAAGCACCGGCUAACUACGUGCCAGCAGCCGCGGUAAUACGUAGGGUGCAAGCGUUGUCCGGAAUUAUUGGGCGUAAAGAGCUCGUAGGCGGUUUGUCGCGUCUGCUGUGAAAUCCCGAGGCUCAACCUCGGGCCUGCAGUGGGUACGGGCAGACUAGAGUGCGGUAGGGGAGAUUGGAAUUCCUGGUGUAGCGGUGGAAUGCGCAGAUAUCAGGAGGAACACCGAUGGCGAAGGCAGAUCUCUGGGCCGUAACUGACGCUGAGGAGCGAAAGCGUGGGGAGCGAACAGGAUUAGAUACCCUGGUAGUCCACGCCGUAAACGUUGGGAACUAGAUGUGGGGACCAUUCCACGGUCUCCGUGUCGCAGCUAACGCAUUAAGUCCCCGCC